UUCUAGAGCUAAUACAUGCGCCCAAACCCGACUUCGUGGAAGGGUUGUGUUUAUUAGAUACAGAACCAACCCAGGCUCCGCCUGGCCUUGAGGUGAUUCAUAAUAACCGAACGAAUCGCAUGGCUAUGCCGGCGAUAGACCAUUCAAGUUUCUGACCUAUCAGCUAUCGUCGGUAGGGUAUUGGCCUACCGUGGCAAUGACGGGUAACGGAGAAUUAGGGUUCGAUUCCGGAGAGGGAGCCUGAGAAACGGCUACCACAUCUAAGGAAGGCAGCAGGCGCGCAAAUUACCCAAUCCUGACGCAGGGAGGUAGUGACAAGAAAUAACAAUACAGGGCAUACAUGUCUUGUAAUUGGAAUGAGUAAACUUUAAAUCACUUUACGAGUAUCAAUUGGAGGGCAAGUCU
rnacentral:rRNA from 1 species